rnacentral:rRNA from 1 species
GUCUUUUUGAUUAUAAUUUAAAGUCUAAUCUGCCCAAUGAUUUUUAAAUGGCUGCGGUAUUUUGACCGUACAAAGGUAGCAUAAUCAUUAGUUUUUUGAUUGAAAGCUAGAAUGAAUGAUUGAACGAAAAAAUUACUGUCUCAAUUUAAUUUUUUUUAGAAUUUUAUUUUUGAGUUAAAAAGCUCAAAUAAUUUUUAAAGACGAGAAGACCCUAUAGAGUUUAAUAUUUUUAACGUUUUUAAAUUUUAUAAAUUUUUUAAAUUUUAAAAAUAUUUUAUUGGGGUGAUAAUUAAAUUUAAAAAACUUUAAUUUUUAUAUACAUAAAUUUAUGAAUAAAUGAUCCAUUAUUAAUGAUUAAAAGAUUAAAUUACCUUAGGGAUAACAGCGUAAUUUUUUUUAAGAGUUCUUAUCGAAAAAAAAGAUUGCGACCUCGAUGUUGGAUUAAAAUUAAAUUUUGGUGUAGAAGCUAAAACUUUAAGUCUGUUCGACUUUUAAAAUUUUACAUGAUCUGAGUUUAAACCGGCGUGAGCCAGGUUGGUUUCUAUCUUAAAAUAACUAAAAUAUUUUAGUACGAAAGGACCAAAUAUUUGUAAUAUUUAUUAAUUUUUGAAUAU